rnacentral:rRNA from 1 species
AUGUAUUGUAUGGUCACCAAUACAAUAACUAAAUACAAAACAAAACAACAUUCUCUUUCCAUCGAAAAGGAAUUCUCUAAUAACAGUCAUUAUCGAUCAAUUAGACCAAAGCUAGUCUGUAGCAGGCUCUUUAUAGAGGAAAUGCAUAUUUGCAUUCAUGAUAGAAGAAAUCAAAGUGGGUUUAACGAAAUUGAUGCAAGAAUGACCAGAAUAAAUCAGCUAGAAUAUCUCCCCAAAAAACCAGAAACAGAAGUUUCAAACUGCUCCUCGAAGCAUGAGCUAGAUAAGGCAAGUUACUUAUGUACCCUAUCAUUUUUAGUGGGUUUUGUUGGAGCGUCUAUAUUUCCAGUACUCUGCUAA